UGAGUACGAGCUGCUACGGCAGCGAAGUGGGUGACGUCAAGCUUCCAAGAAAAGCCCUAUACCCGUUAAGGCAUGACGGCCUGUACCCGAAACCGACACAGGUGGGGUGGUAGAGAAUACCGAGGGGCGCGAGGUAACUCUCUCUAAGGAACUCGGCAAAAUGGCCCCGUAACUUCGGGAGAAGGGGUGCCACCGCAAGGUGGUCGCAGUGAAGAGGCCCAGGCGACUGUUUACCAAAAACACAGGUCUCCGCUAAGUCGCAAGACGAUGUAUGGGGGCUGACGCCUGCCCAGUGCCGGAAGGUUAAGGAAGCUGGUCAGCGAAAGCGAAGCUAGCGACUGAAGCCCCGGUGAACGGCGGCCGUAACUAUAACGGUCCUAAGGUAGCGAAAUUCCUUGUCGGGUAAGUUCCGACCCGCACGAAAGGCGUAACGAUCUGGGCGCUGUCUCGGAGAGAGGCUCGGCGAAAUAGAAUUGUCUGUGAAGAUGCGGACUACGUGCACCCGGACAGAAAGACCCUAUGAAGCUUUACUGUAGCUUGGUAUUGUGCCCGGGCUCUGAAUGCGCAGGAUAGGUGGGAGACAUUGAUGCAUGGCUUGCGGGUCAUGUGGAGUCAACGGUGAGAUACCACUCUUUCAGAGCUAGGGUUCUAACAGCCACCCGUUAUCCGGGGGUUGGACAGUAUCAGGUGGGCAGUUUGACUGGGGCGGUCGCCUCCUAAAAGGUAACGGAGGCGCGCAAAGGUUUGCUCAGGCUGGUUGGAAAUCAGCCGACGAGUGUAAAAGCAGAAGCAAGCUUGACUGUGAGACCUACAAGUCGAACAGGGACGAAAGUCGGCUUUAGUGAUCCGACGGUUCUGAGUGGAAGGGCCGUCGCUCAACGGAUAAAAGUUACUCUAGGAUAACAGGCUGAUCUCCCCCAAGAGUUCACAUCGACGGGGAGGUUUGGCACCUCGAUGUCGGCUCAUCGCAACCUGGGGCUGAAGUCGGUCCCAAGGGUUGGGCUGUUCGCCCAUUAAAGCGGUACGCGAGCUGGGUUCAGAACGUCGUGAGACAGUUCGGUCCAUAUCCGGUGCAUGCGUAAGAACAUUGAGAGGAGUUCUCCCUAGUACGAGAGGACCGGGAGGAACGCACCUCUGGUGUACCAGUUAUCGUGCCAACGGUAAACGCUGGGUAGCCAUGUGCGGAGAGGAUAACCGCUGAAAGCAUCUAAGUGGGAAGCCCACCUCAAGAUGAGUGUUCUCAUGGCUUAAGCCAGUAAGGUCACGGGAAGAACACCCGUUGAUAGGCUCUACGUGGAAGCUUGGUAACAGGUGAAGCGGAGGAGUACUAAUAGACCGAGGGCUUGACC
rnacentral:rRNA from 1 species